AUUGAACGCUGGCGGCAGGCCUAACACAUGCAAGUCGAACGGUAACAGGAAGCAGCUUGCUGCUUUGCUGACGAGUGGCGGACGGGUGGGUAAUGAAUGGGCAACUGCCUGAUGGAGGGGGAUAACUACUGGACACGGUUGCUAAUACCGCAUAACGUCGCAAGACCAAAGAGGGGGGCCUUCGGGCCUCUUGCCAUCGGAUGUGCCCAGGUGGGAUUAGCUUGUUGGUGGGGUAAAGGCUCACCAAGGCGACGAUCCGUAACUGGUCUGAGAGGAUGAACAGCCACACUGGAACUGAGACACGGUCCAGACUCCUACGGGAGGCAGCAGUGGGGAAUAUUGGACAAUGGGCGAAAGCCUGAUCCAGCCAUGCCGCGUGUAUGAAGAAGGCCUUCGGAUUGUAAAGUACUUUCAGCGGGGAGGAAGGGAAGAAAGUUAAUACCUUGAUGUAUUGACGUUACCCGCAGAAGAAGCACCGGCUAACUCCGUG
rnacentral:rRNA from 1 species